GACGAACGCUGGCGGCGUGCUUAACACAUGCCAGUCGAACGGAAAGGCCCUGCUUUUGUGGGGUGCUCGAGUGGCGAACGGGUGAGUAACACGUGAGUAACCUGCCCUUGACUGUGGGAUAACUUCAGGAAACUGGGGCUAAUACCGGAUAGGAGCUCCUGCUGCAUGGUGGGGGUUGGAAAGUUUCGGCGGUUGGGGAUGGACUCGCGGCUUAUCAGCUUGUUGGUGGGGUAGUGGCUUACCAAGGCUUUGACGGGUAGCCGGCCUGAGAGGGUGACCGGCCACAUUGGGACUGAGAUACGGCCCAGACUCCUACGGGAGGCAGCAGUGGGGAAUAUUGCACAAUGGGCGGAAGCCUGAUGCAGCAACGCCGCGUGCGGGAUGACGGCCUUCGGGUUGUAAACCGCUUUCGCCUGUGACGAAGCGUGAGUGACGGUAAUGGGUAAAGAAGCACCGGCUAACUACGUG
rnacentral:rRNA from 1 species